rnacentral:lncRNA from 1 species
GGACCAGGUGUGGAGGAGAUACAUCUCUGUAGUGUGGACAGUGUGCAGAGCCUGUGUCUUCUGAGCCCCUUCAGCAGAAGUAAUGCUGUUACUAAUCAGGAGGCAGAAGUCCUAAGGCUACGGAGGACAAAGUUGGAUAAAAAUGUUCCAUGAAGGUAAUAGCACGGAUCUGAAAGGCCCAUGAUGGGGAGUCUCUUAC